rnacentral:misc_RNA from 1 species
GAAAUGCGAUAAGUAAUGUGAAUUGCAGAAUUACGUGAAUCAUCGAAUCUUUGAACGCAGAUUGCGCCCUCUGGCAUUCCGGGGGGCAUGCCUGUCCGAGCGUCAUUACGCACCCUCAAGCCCGGCUUGUGUGAUGGGCCCCGGCGUCUCGUUCGCGAGACGGGCCCGAAAGGCAGCGGCGGCGUCGACCCGAUGAGCCCGAGCGUAUGGGGACUUCUGUCACACGUUCGCGGUGCGGACCGGCGCCUGCUUGACUUUUCUGAUUAUCCAGGUUGACCUCGGAUCAGGUAGGGAUACCCGCUGAACUUAAGC